GAUUUUUCUUCUUUUUUUCUUUCUCCAACUUUGGGAUAGUUGGUUAAUUAGCCGUUUAGUUAGAAUGAGAAUGAGGCUCAAUGAUGAAAUUUAAAGUCGUCUGUAAAAUUGGCAUUGUCAAUUCUUAAGAACUCUUGACUUUCUUGAGCAUGUUACGAACAUGUAAGCGUUUUUUAUUUUUUAAUGAAUGCUUCUUUUUUUUUUAUAUAGCUUCUUAAUUCUUACUUUGUUUUAUUGAAUUAUGAUUUUUGUUUCAAGUGUUACAACGAUUGCCGGUAGAGGAAAAUGGAGUCGUGGAGGGGGCCAUGUUGAUGGACCAAGUGAGGAAGCUAAAUUUUCUAAUGACUUUGAUGUGGUUUAUGUUGGAAGUAGUUGCUCCCUACUUGUAAUAGACAGAGGAAACCAAGCCAUCAGGGAGAUCCAACUGCACUUUGAUGACUGUGCUUAUCAAUAUGGAAGUGGAUUUCCUCUCGGUAAGCUAAAUGAACCUGACAUAUUUCUUUGAAUUUUAUUAGCUACAAAUUAAAAGCGACGGCCUUAGAUUUGCAGGAAUUGCAAUGCUUGUUUGGGCUGGCUUUUUUGGUUAUAUGUUGGCACUGUUGCAGGAAUUACAUGAAAACCAUAUGCAGUCUCAGUAGGUCUCAAUUUUAGUAUAUACAUCCUACAUGAAAACAUCUUACAUGACUUAAUAUUUACAUGAAAACCAUAUGCAAUACUACACUUGUUUCUUUUCUUUCUUCAGAGAUGAACUAAUAUUUACUUGCAGGAAUAUGGUCAUCGUGUUAGGGUGGCAACUCAUUCUAAUUUCACUACUAAAAUUUAGAUAUUUACUAACACUUUAUCUAACAUAUUUUAAAAUGUUAGCUAUACUAGUAAAAUUAUACUUUUAGUAACAUUUGUCGAAUAAAUGUUAAAAAAUAUAUUUUUUCUUAAAAGAAAGAAGAAAAAUUAGAUGUAAAUGUUACCAAAUGUGUAAAGAGGUAAAAAUUAUACUAAGGCAUUAUUUUUUAAUCUCUUUCGUGUUCUUUUCUUUACAGUUCACAAUGACCGAGAAAACCACUCCCAAGUUUCAUCGCAUCUCCUUCCUCUACACUUCAUCUUCUUCCUUGAUCUCAAUCGCAAUCUGAGCAUUCUCCAGAUUUGGAUUCUCCUCUCAAUUUUGGUAAGCAUGUGCUCUCUUCUUUAACUUUUUUCUAUUCACUCAGUUCUUCAAUUUCUUAUCUAUUGCUGAUUUCGAUCCAGAUCUGAAUCAUUGGUGCACGAAAUCGUGAUCGUUCAUUCCUUGGUAACGGCGCCAAAAACUUCAUGCGCACGUUCAUAAUUUUUGUUCUUUGUCACAACUUCGCACAACUAACCAGCAAGUGCACUGGGUUGUCCAAGUAAUAAACCUUACGUGAGUAAGGGUCGAUCCCACGGAGAUUGUUGGCUUGAAGCAAGCUAUAGUCACCUUGUAAAUCUCAGUCAGACGGAUUCAAAUGGUUAUAGAGUUUUAAUAAUUAAAAGAUAAAUAAAACGUAAAAUAAAGAUAGAUAUACUUAUGUAAUUCAUUGGUGAGAAUUUCAGAUAAGCGUAUAGAGAUGCUUAAUUUCUUCUGAAUCUCCGCUUUUCUACUGCUUUCAUCCAAUCCUUCAUACUCCUUUCCAUGGCAAGCUGUAUGUUGGACAUCACCAUUGUCAAUGGCUACAUCCCGUCCUCUCAGUGAAAAUGGUCCAAAUGCGCUGUCACCGCACGGCUAAUCAUCUGUCGGUUCUCGAUCAUACUGGAAUAGGAUUCAGUAAUCCUUUUGCGUCUGUCACUACGCCCAGCACUUGCGAGUUUGAAGCUCGUCACAGCCAUCCCUUCCCAGAUCCUACUCAGAAUACCACAUACAAGGUUUAGACUUUCUGGAUCUCAAGAAUGGCCGCCAAUAAUUCUAGCCUAUACCACGAAGACUCUGACCGUAGAUCAGGAGGCUAAGAGAUAUGCAUUCAAGCUUGUUUGCAUGUGGAACGGAAGUGUUUAUCAGGCACGCGUUCAUAAGUGAGAAUGAUGAUGAGCGUCACAUAAUCAUCACAUUCAUCAUGUUCUUGUGUGCAAAUGAAUAUCUUAGAGAAGAAAUAGGCUUGAGUUGAAUAGAAAAAUAAUAGUACUUUGCAUUAAUUCAUGAGGAACAGUAGAGCUCCACACCUUAAUCUAUGGUGUGUAGAAACUCUACCGUUGAAAAUACAUAAGUGAAAAUAGGGUAGACAUGGCCGAGUGGCCAGCCUCCCAUGGAGGUCUCAGAACGUAAAAGUUACAUAAUGUGUCCCAGAGAUUUCUAAAUACAAUAGUAAAAAGUCCUAUUUAUACUAAACUAGUUACUAGGGUUUACAGAGAUAAGUAAAUGAUGCAGAAAUCCACUUCUGGGCCCACUUGGUGUGUGCUUGGGCUGAGCAUUGAAGCUUUCACGUGUAGAGGUCUUCCUUGGAGUUGAACGCCAGUUUGUAACUUAUUUUUGGCGUUUAACUCUGCUUUGCAACUUGUUUCUGGCGUUUAACGCCAGAAUAGGGCAGAAAGCUGGCGUUGAAUGCCAGUUUGCGUCGUCUAACCUUGGGCAAAGUAUGGACUAUUAUAUAUUGCUGGAAAGCCCUGGAUGUCUACUUUCCAAUGCAAUUGAGAGCGCAAUAUUUGGAUUUCUAUAUCUCCAGAAAAUCUACUUUGAGUGUAGGGAGGUCAGAAUCCAACAGCAUCUGCAGUCCUUCUUCAGCCUCUGAAUCAGAUUUUUGCUCAAGUCCCUCAAUUUCAGCCAGAAAAUAUCUGAAAUCACAGAAAAAUACACAAACUCAUAGUAAAGUCUAGAAAUGUGAUUUUUAUUUAAAAACUAAUAAAAAUAUAUUAAAAACUAACUAAAUCAUACUAAAAACUAUGUAAAAACAAUGCCAAAAAGCGUAUAAAUUAUCCGCUCAUCAAUCAUGCAUAUGUAAUUUCUCGCCUCUAGUUCAUCCUCUCAUUGUCUGCACUGUCAUUGUGCCGUCUUCUUCUCGCAUGUGCCAUCGUCUUCUCCCUGCGCAGUCAUCUUCUCACCGAUUCCAUCGUUUGCUCAUCCCUUAUCUUCUUGCUCCUUCAAUCCUCUUUAAUCUUUACUUGAUAAUUAAUCUGUAAUUAAUUUGAUGUAUAAUUAUUAGUUAAUUUAGGUUUUUAAUUAGUUAUUUAGUAGUUAGGUUUUGAAUUUAGGUUUUAAUUAAGUUGUUUAUUUAAAUUUAGGUUUUAAUUAUUUUGUUCUUUGCUUUACAUUUAGCUGAAAUCCUGCACAUUACUAAUAUGAUUAUUGUCGUUUUAAUAUUUGGAUAAUGUGGUAGGAAUUAUGAAUUCAAUUAAGGAAUUUUCAUUUCUAUACUUGUUUCUGAAAUAUCUCCUUGUAAAUUUACGUGAUAUUUUCUGUGUAAUUAAUCAAAUUAAACUUAAUUAAACAUGCUCAAAAUACAGAAUAUCUAAUGAAGAUAAAUAAUGUUUAUUACCAGAGUCUGAAGAUCAUUUUUCUUGAAGAUAAUUGCUGAGAAGUGGACAGGGAUUAUAGCCUUGCCACACCACUUAGAAAAAGAAGACAUGGAAAUAGGUGGUGUGACUUUUCAGUACCAAGAACACAAACUAGAAAGUGUAUCUAAGUAGUGAAAUUAAUGGGUGUUAAGACUACUAUAUCUAUAUUUAUUUAUGAUGCUUAGUUACAACUCAAGUGUCAUGAUUACAUCUCCAAAUGGUUGAAUUCCCAAGAAUUAUAUAGCAAGGAAAAUCAGUUAGAGUCUUACAAACGCAAGGGUUAUUGUUUAGCACUUCCCUUGGUCCUCUCAUAAAAAGUCCUUUUUCAAUAUGGUUUUUUCCUUUUCUUUUUCUAGAUUUAGUGUCAUGUUUCAAUUAUUUUUUCAAUUUAGUCUCAGUUCAUAAUUUAUGCAAAAUGUUUUAUUUUUUUUAUAUUUUUGCAGUUAGGGUGCAAAAAUCGUUUUUUUUUUCUUUUAAAUUUUAAUUUUCAGAUUUCACAUAUUAUUUGCAUUAGAUAAUGUAAUUAACAAGUAUGGGCAUAAAUUAGUGAAGUGCUUGAAUAGGCUCAUUUGUAUUAGUGAUAAGCAUAAAUUGAUUCAAGCAUUUUAUAGGAGACAAGUUACAUUAUUAUUUGCCUUUAUACUCAUCAUUUAUGGCACAGUUUAUUAUGUUUCACAUCAGUGUAUAGAUUAGCCUCUGAACCAAGCAAAUAAUUGGUUGACAAUGACAUGCAAUUUCUUAUACUGAAUGUUAUAUUUUUUAGCUUUGGGGGCAAAGGUAGCACCCAGUAUACCGUUAAGGGAUCACACAAAGAAUUUCCACAGGAGCUUUUCCACGAGUUGAAACUCAUCUGUCAGGUAUGAAAUCUAAAAUUCUCUGAUAUCUCAGAAAUUUGGAUCACUGAAAGAAGCACUAAAAAAUACUCGAGCUGGUUCUGAUUUGCAUGGCAGCUAGAUGAAAUUUUCUUUUUGUUCUUACUAGAACUUACUGAGCUGAUUGUUUGUAAUCUCUUGCUAAAAGAAUUUUAGGAAAGCAGGUCACUCUUCUUAGUUAAUUGAUUGUGUUUAAGAAUAAUAUUUGUUUUUGGGUGAAAUAAUAAUAAACUCAUAUCAUUUGCAAUUCGGAGCUGCAUCUAUGUGACUAUCAAAGACACAAGUAAGGAUGUCUUGAGCUGUUGGUCGCUUUGGAGCUGCAUCUGUUUUGAGUUCAAAAUGUCUUAAGAUUGAGGGUUCAUUUUUUUGAUGUGUAAUGCAAGAAUGUCUUGUUCAUUCUAGCUAUGAUGAUUAACAGUUCAAGCUUUAGCAUGUGUUUUUAUUAUUUUCAUUGUUUGCUACAGUUGCAGCAGCCAAGCAAGUACCAGUACCAUGAGCAACUUUGGGAUUCUCCUUUCAGCCAUGCCUUACCCAGAUGUCAUUGUCUUUCCUAGUAGUGCAGAAAUCAUCAGACAUAUCUCCUCUAUUUUUUACUGGUGUGUUAGAGGUGAGCCACUGAAGUGUGUUGUUUCUCUUAAAUGGCUAAAAGUUUCUAUUAUUUCCUUCUAGUCUAGUAAUGCAUUUUAGAGUUUUCUUCGUUUCAGGCUGUGGUAGCUGCCUUGUUUAUGAAUAUUUAUAUUGUUGGAUUGAAUCAAUUGUCGGAUAUUGAAAUAGACAGGGUAUAGAUCUUGCUAAUAGAUAUAAAAAUCUCGGUGACUAAUAAAUGCUUUUCUUUUGUACUUGGCUUCUGAAUUAUUCAAGUAGAAUUGCUAUGUGAUUUAUCAGUUAACUCACCAAAGUAGGAUAGUCAAAAGCCUAUAUAUUGGGUGUGAACAGGUGUUCUUGCAACUUGAGCACAGAACAGUUAAUAUGAUUUUGACCACCAUAUUCUGGUUUAGAUAUUAUUGUAACUUUGAUGUGGUUAUAAGUUAUAACAACACACAACUUUUUAUAGCUGUCAAACUUUUUCAGAGAAAUUCCAUGUGCCUUUUCUUAUUAUUGAUCUGUAUAUCUUAUUGCAGAUAAACAAGCCAUAUCUUCCAUUGGCAUCCGGUGAAUAUUCUGUUGGAACUGGUGUCACAAUUGUUGCAUCAUUUUCAUUUCUGGUACCAUAUAGAUUCAAUACUUUUUCUAAGACAAGCUUUACUGAAAUGGUGGAAAGAGGCUUACCGUUUUGUUCUCUUAUACAGAGUUUUUGGCUUGGUUGGAUUGUAGGUUCAUGGCCAUUUUUUGGGCUCUUUUCAUCAGUUUUGUGCUUGGGACUGCUUAUUCAAUUGACGUGAGAGUUUCUUUUUCUUUUCUUUUUUUUAAAGACCUCAUUUUCCCCACAAUAUAUUAUUUUGAAUGGUCAUCAUACAAUGUCUUCAUUUUAAGAGUCUAUAUGUUCAGCAUAUUACUUGCAUUAUCAAAUUUUGAAGCCAUAAAUGUCAAACAAUAUCCACUUGUCUUGAUUUUUCUUUAAUAAGAAAAGAAUGUGUUAGUUGCUCAUGAGUAACUCACCGGUUCAAAGCCAACCAAUAAAGUGAUACAUUCAUUUGAGUUAGCUAUUGUUCUCUGUACCUCUCUUAAUUCCUUUUUAUUUUUAUGGCAUUGCAAAAAUUUGUUCUGCAGAAAUUGGUGGUAUUUCCUCUCAAACUUCAAAAUUUAUGGAUUUUGAAUAAUUAUAUGGGGAACUGUUUGGAUAAGGUAAGAAUAUUAGGAUAAAUCAAUGAGAUUCUUCAUUACUAUGCUGAGUAAAAGUUGAAAAGCCUGAAACUUUUCUCCUGUUUGUAAAUUUACAGUGUUACUAUUUGACUAUGGUUUUUUAGUAUGUCCAAGGCCUACUUAUUUGCCAGUUGCAUUGAGAUAUUAACUCUCGAAUAUUCGUCCUGCUUGUAUAGGAUCUGUAGCUGCAUUGAACUUGGUUGACUGGUUUAAGGGAAUGGUAAUAAGUCGUCGCAGCAAUGAGCUAGUCAAGCAGAUAAAUACAUUUUUCUAGGAUUAGUAUAAGGACUAAGUUUUUUAUGUACAUAGUAUCACUUUUUCUUUUCUUUUUUAUAUGGAAUGUUUAUAGAGUUUAAGUGCUAUAAGUAUUUUUUUUUCCAUUUUAUUUGCAUCACGAAGCAAAUUUGUACAAUGAUUAUUGAUUAAUGAAAGAGACUAUAAAAUUUUUUUGUGAAUUUGUAAAUUUAAUGAAAUAUUUCAUGUUGUAGUAAUUAAUUUUAGUAUAUUUAUAUUAUGUAUAAUAUAAAAUAAAAAAUAAAAAAUAGUAUAAUAUAAGUAAAAAAAUGUUACUAAAAAUCUUUUGUAACAUUUUUUAAGUGUUACAAAAAAUAUCUAUGGUAACAUUUUUUGAAGUGUUACAAAAAAAUCUAUGGUAACAUUUUUCUAAGUGUUACAUAAAAUAUCUAUGGUAACAUUUUUUAAGUGUUAUAAAAAAUAGCUAUGGUAACAUUUUUCUAAGUGUUACAAAAUAUAUCUAUUGUAACAUUUCUUUUAAGUGUUAUUAAGAAAGAUUUAUUGUAACAUUUCUCAUAAUAUUACUAUAGAAGAUCUAUUGUAACAUUUUUAUUAAAUGUUAUUAAAUCUUUAGAAAAAUGUUAGUAAAACUCUUUAGUAACAUAGGGUAUAUUUAACAUUUGAUAAAAUAUUACUAAUAUACAUAGCUAACAUUUUAAUAUGAUUUGGUAAUAUUUUUUAAAUGUUAGUAAAAAUCAAUUAUGUAGUAAUGUUUCAGCACAUUUGUAAAGUCAGCUGGUGCAAAUUUCUAUCUGUUGGCAGGAUGUAAGAGUUCUUAGCUCAAGUAGAUAAAUAUAUUUUUCUAGGAUUAGUAUAAGGACUAAGUUUUUUAUGUACUAUGUAUCACUUUUCCUUUUCUUUUUUAUAUGGAAUGUUCAUAGAGUUUAAGUGCUAUAAGUAUUUUUUUUUUCUUUUUUUAUUUUAUUUGCAUUACAAAGCAAAUUUGUACAAUGAUUAUUGAUUAAUGAAAGAGGCUAUAAAAAUUUUAUUUUGUGAAUUUAUGAAUUUAAUGAAAUAUUUAAUGUUGUAGUAAUUAAUUUUAGUAUAUUUAUAUUAUGUAUAAUAUAAAAUAAAAAAUAAAAAAGUAUAAUAUAAUUAAAAAAAUGUUACUAAAGAUCUUUUGUAAUAUUUUUUAAGUGUUACAAAAAUAUCUAUGGUAACAUUUUUUGAAGUGUUACAAAAAAUAUCUAUUGUAACAUUUUUCUAAGUGUUACAUAAAAUAUCUAUUGUAACAUUUUUUAAGUGUUACAAAAAAAUCUAUGGUAACAUUUUUCUAAGUGUUACAAAAUAUAUCUAUUGUAAAAUUUCUUUAAGUGUUACUAAGAAAGGUUUAUUAUCACAUUUCUCAUAAUAUUACUAUAGAAGAUCUAUUGUAACAUUUUUACUAAAUGUUAUUAAAUAUUUAGAAAAAUAUUAGUAAAACUCUUUAGUAACAUAGUGUAUAUUUAACAUUUGUUAAAAUGUCACUAAUAUAAAUAGCUAACAUUUUAAUAUGAUUUGGUAACUUUUUUAAAUGUUAGUAAAAGUCAAUUAUGUAGUAGUGUGAUAAAAUUAAAAUUAAAAUUUUAAGUUAUUUUGCUAAAAUUAAUUUGAAUUAUAAUAAUUUGACUAAUAAAAAAGCAAUGAGUUAUGCAUUGUUUGUUUUUUUUAAUUUAGUAUUAAUUGUAUUAACUCUAAAAUAGUUAUUAACCGGUUUUAGUAAUCUACUUUUUUCAAUAAAUCAGACAUAUAUACUGAAUAUGACCAUAAUAAUCUAGUAAUACCUAAAUCCACCAACAAAUUGUUAUAUGUAUAAGAACAUAUCAAAAUCAGUUGAAAAUGAACAACAAAUUAUUAGAGAAUUCUAAUGCAGAAAGUUCUCCAACAAACAAUAAAUAAUUUAAACCCACUAAAUAACAACUCAACAGUAUUCUUUGAUGCCUGCAAAAUAUAUACCUGAAAUAAUACUAUAUCAAUGUUAGUAUGCAAAAUUAUAUGAUUAACGUAAUUAUAAAAUUGUUUAUCAGGAGAAUAAAAUAAUACAGAUUUUUAUGAUAAUUAUAAUAUUCUCAAGCAAAAAAUGUAUAAGAAUGUAUUACCGAUUAGCACCUAGAAUUUGUCAAUUUUUUAAAUUGAUAGUAAUAAAUUUUAAUAAAUUAAUAAAUUUAAUUAAUAGAUUUCGUUAUUACCUUUUCAUUAUAAGCUCUCAGAAACUUCUCUAUAUACCACAUUCAUUGUGCAGUUAUCUUCUAAGUGUUAGUGAUCUUGCAACAGCACUUGCAGACCAUCUUUACUCUUUACUCGUUACUCUUGCCUUUAUUUUUCUAACUUUUUCAUUACAUAAUCUACCAUAGGUAGUACUGUUGAUAGAAUCGUAGGCCAUUAGGUAUGAAAAAUAAUAAACAGAAAAAGAACUAUAUCUGAGGUACAAAUUUUCUAGAUGAUAUAAGCUUUUAUAUUUGAUAUCGAUAUAUAGUCUCCAAUCCCAAUCCCAUUCAUAUGCAAACUGUAUAUAAUUUUUUUUAAUAGAGCAAUUUUAAUUUUUAAUGGAGAUACUUGCAGUACAACAGAUGCGGGGGAUGCUUGCGGCAAACUUCCUAUGGUGUCACAAACAGCAUCAGCUCAGGGUGGAUUGCUGCGAUCUCUUCCCAAAUUAGCCUUCUGAUGUUGAAUCACUCUGAUUUUGUGUCAAACUCACCAAGCCCGCUGCUAACUCCAAACCAUCUAGUGAUGGUAUAACCCAAAUUCGCCUCCGAAUACCCAAAAUCAAGAAUCUGAGGAACCCACCAAAGAAGAUUGCAGAGCACGCGAAACUCUUUCCUGCUCUACCGUGCCCCACCCUGUCACCGUGGAUUCUUGUGGCUGCCGAUCCACCUUUCUCCCCCUGCUGUCGACCCUUCCCAAAAUCAGAUCCGUAGCUCAGAUUCUUCAUCGCGUGAACACAUAAGGGGCAGAGGCACGAAACACAUUUCCCUGCACCCAUCCUCCGGACACCAAUACCAGCUGCGUCGUGCUUCCCGUUACCGGUGGAUCCAUCACAGACCAGCUUCGUGGUUUACAUUAUUGAUAUGUACAAAAUGCCUCUUUGUUAGUAAGGUUCUAGCUUGUUCUUCAUUUAUGAUCUCUGUCUCGCAUAUGCAUUUUUCUGUUUUAUUUUUUUCUAAAAUUAACUAGUAUUUGAAAGGGUAGAUCAAAGGUUUGUGGGGUACAUUUUCAACAAUUUUGCCUGAAAGUAUAAGUCAGAGAAAUAAAUUGGAAGUGACAACUACUUUCCAUGUAGCAGAACCUACCACCCAAAUUUUGAGAUGUGUAAGUUAAUGAAUUUGAUAAGCCCUCAAACUAGAAGCAGAUAAUUUGUAUCAAUUAUAUCUAGAAUCAUAGUCCAAAAUAAUGAAUCCUAUUAUCAAAUAUCAAUGAAAUAAAAGACUUGUUUGAAUUUGAAUACUAUAUCUAUCCAAAGCUCUCAAUUUUUUCAUCUGACUCAUAAGAGAUGUGAUAAGAACUUGGAGUGCUGAUAAAUUACAAAGCAGUACAAAGUUGCAUUCUCAAUUACUUGGACAUGUAAAAGUUUAUCUCAUGGUGGUGGUGGCUAAUAUUGGCAAUGCCAGAUUACAUGAAUGUUAAGACUGGAAUGGCUGGAUGAGCAGUAGUUGCAUAUCUAAUGGAAUGGUCAAGUUUAGACCAAUAAGAAACACAAGCUGGUUGCCAAAUAACCUGAUCAAGAUUCAAGAAGCAAGAAUUCUGUAUGUAUUACUAUAACAAAAGUUAUUCAUUAUAUAAACUGAAAUUAGUAAAUGAAGAAGCUCACCAAAGUAAUCCAAGCAAGAACGAUGACAUGAGUAGGUGCUUAGUAACAGGCGGUCGCGCCUGCCUAUAGACAACACGAUAAGGUGAGGAUACCACAUAUUACAAAUGAAGUGAAGAUAAAGUUUGAGUUCUAAAUUUUGAUAUGUGUAGGACUGUUAUAUGUCCAAAGAAAUCAAGUAUUAUAUCAUUUCUAGCAUAAUACACUUUUUAAAUUAUUACUCUUGUUUCUCAGUUCCUGUUAUCUCAUUAUUACUUAUUUCUCAUCCCAAUACACUUACCAAUUACUCAUAUAUCUACAAACAGCAUAGCUCCUGCUACUUAUUCAUGAUCGAAAGGCCUAAGCUACCAAAUGAAGUCAAUGUUAAGAGUAAAGAAAAAAGCUGAAACAACAAAGUCACAACAUUGGCCCAGUUAAAAAUAUUUCCUUUAUCCCCUUGUCCUUUAUCCCUUAAAUAUUUCUUUCUAUCCCCUAACUUUGUAGAAAUAUUUUCUGUUAAGAUGUGUGCAGAGAUAGGAUUUUGAUGGAUUUUGUAGAUUUUUUAACAAGAUGUUUAUAUAUAACAGCUUCUUGUAAUCAUUGAAAAUAAGAAUACACACUCUUUAUUUCAUUAGUCUUAUCUUUUUCUUUAAAUAAUCAUAUACAGUGUGAAGUCAUCAAUAAGAAGGAAAGCAUAUAGUUAGUUAGCCCCUUUAUAAUAUAACUAUAUGCCAAGUUUAAAGCUUGCAUUUUAGUUAGCAUAUAGUUAGUUAGCUCUUUCAUAAGUUACCAAUAUAUAUAGAUACAGCUCUAUUAGAAUUUUUAAAAUAUAGGAAGAGCAUUAAGCUUGUGUUUUCAGUUAACUUACUAAAUCAACAAGCUUUUUUUUGUCAUGGUUAUAAUUCCAUUUCAAACCGAUAUUUUUGUCUAUUUCUUUGGAGUUGAUUCUUUUUGGUUUUGAAAAAGACAAAAUUUAUAUAGUAUAAUCAAGGGAUAGAUGCAGACAAGACUGCUAGAUAAAAGAUGGAGUUUAGUUUUUAGCCUGACAAUUAUGGAUAUCAGGUUUUUUUAGUGAGAUUUAUGAAUGGCAAGUAAGCAUAUCUGCUGUACAGGCCUAACCGUGGAUCACUGGAAUCUUUAUCUGGAUAUUUUUUGUUGCAUCUUCAUAUUGGUAAAAUACGAGAUAUACUUCUAGUCUUAGGCAUUUUGUUGGACGAACUUAUUAUUUAAUGUCUCUGAUGCUAAUAACUAAUAAGGCCACGCUUUUGCCAAUGUGAAAAUUAUAUAUAUAUAUUGUACCAACUUGUCAUGUUUACCAAAGUAUCUAAUUCCGCAUUUGGUAUAAAAAGGUCUAAAUUGUUGAAGAACAAGUCAGAGCUUCUGUUGAGCACAAACUGGGAGAGCUUGUCAGAGCAUUACUGCUGGGUUUUUUGACAAUAAUACAAGGUUGACAUGGUACAUUUGAUGCUGUUAGUUCAUCACAGAAUUGGAAUCAGCUCUGAAGUUUUAUUUUGCCUAUAUGUAUUACAGUGUUGAGGAUCGAAGAGAACACUUGGAAUCCCUCCUGCGUGAAUGCAAGAAAGAGGACGCAGGUACUUGAUUACUUGAAAAUUACACCAAUUUUCUGCCUCUGUCUGAUACUUCUUGAUUCAUCUGAUAAUAAAUUGGCUCUACAAUUUGCACUUUCUAGGUUGUACUAUAACUUGGUUCGCUUUUUGGGAAUGAAUAGAAAUCUUAGCAAUAUGUGUUUGCGUCAUGUCAAUGACCAACUCUCCUAAAGUCUUAUUCUUGGAAAUAUUGCGUUAUUGUACAUGUACUUAUAUUUUCUUGGCUGGUGAUUAUUCUUAUCCAACAGAACUUUUUAUGCUGUUAAUAAGUGAUGCUUCCUGGUUUAUGGUUAUCUAUUUUAUUGAGAUUUUCAUUUUCAUUAAUUAGCCUUCUUUUUCCACCUUACUUUUUUCUUGAUGAGCAUACAUGGAACCUAAUAGUAUAUAGUAUGAGCUUGUUUAAUUUGUGUUCGUGGUAGGAUUCAACAAAAUUUUAUUUGUCAUAACUUCUUUUCUUCGGAUGAUUCCGUAACAUACAACUAGCUUAGGGUUUGUUAUUAGAUUUAGUUAGUUAUAAUCAAGUAGUGUGAGUUGUGUUCAGGAGAGAUCCGUGAUAAUCCAAUUAUGCUGUGAAUUUGUUUAAGUAUAUAUAAUUUAUAUUUCGUAAUAGAGAAGUGUGAUUAGCCAAGGUGUAUUACUGAAAAUCUAAUUGAUAAGGAUACCGCAAAAUGAAAAGGAAAUUCGGAAGAUGGGAAACAAGGGCUAGAGGUGUCGGAAUAAACAUGAUGUCCACUCGUUUAAAGGGUUUAAUUUGAUUUGAUUAGUUUAGCUAAUAACGUUUGAAUUAAGGUGAUAGUUUAGUAUUACAACUCAAAAGCAUAUUGCCAAAAUGAGUCAUGUCUGUGCCACGUGCCUCUUUUUGGCAUAUACCAUAUCAUCAUCCCAUUAAGUUAAACAAAUGAGGUUUUGAUCACAAAUUCCGAGACACUGCUAAACUAUGAAGCUUUAUAACCUAUUAAAGAUGCUCACCAAAGCAUUUUUUAAUUUAUUCCACUCACGACAGGAAUAGAUUCAAAGGCUUUGUUGUUUUUCUAUGGACUAUGAUCUAUUAUUUAUAUUUUUGUUUUUUAUAUUUUUAAACUCUAAUUUCUGUUCCUCCUUUUUUUAAAGGAAGCUUAUCUUUUCCAUUUCAUUUUUUGGAUUUGGAACCAGAAAUUCUUUCUUCCAGUAAUUUUUUAAAAGUGCAAAAUUAGACCAUGAGUAAGCAACCUUCCUAAUACCAUUCGUAUGCUAUCUAUUAUCCGGGAUACAAGUACCUUUGUCUCUGUUUCAUUUCCAAGCUAUUCUCCCGUUCUCUCUUUGGGAUUACUUAUUGAAUUAAAACGUAUUAUUACUCUCCCAUUAAAUAAUUGUGAUAAAUUUAAUAUAUGUCUUUGGACACUUUUCCCAAAUUUUUUUUAAAUAUUUUCUAUUUGUAUUUCCUUAUUAAAGUUUUAUUCAUUUAUUUAUAUGAUUUCAUUAAAGUAGAUAUAGAUAAGAGUUGGAUCUCAAAGCCACGAGGUAGUGUCGAAUACAGGGUCGGCUUGAACAAAUUUUUGGACUUUGCAUUUGCGAAUGCAUCAUCCGAUGGGAUGAUACAUUAUCCAUGUCCUUCAUGUGGGUUCCGGCUUUUCUAAACUAGAGAUGAUGCCUACGAUCAUCUGUUGAUAAAACCUUUUCCUACUAAGUAUACCUUUCGGUUACUUCACGGGGAGAGACGCGUAGGAGAGAGCUCUACUGAGAGACAAGAAGCUGACACGUGUAGCGUCUACCGAGAUCCAAUAUGCGGCAUGGUUCAUGAGGCAUUCAACUUUCGAGGUUUUGUUGCUGAUGAAGAAGACUCAAGCAACGAACAUUUUGGGGGGGGGGAUGUCGAAGAGUUGCCGUAUCUGUACAGCGAACCUAGUCACGCAGCUCGUAAUUUUGAUGAGCUGCUUGAGGAUGGAGAGCAGGAAUUAUAUCCGGGAUGCGCAAAAUUCUCGAAGCUGGCUUUCUUGGUGAGGCAACUAUAUACAUGAAGAAGCUCAGAGGAUUGGUGUAAGUACGCUUAAUCAUUUAUGUUGUAACAUGUUGGGUUUAGUUAUUAAAAUGUCUUGAGUAUGCUAUAUUCCUAGUGUAAUUGUGUAAUUUUAUUUAUGCCUGCAGGAAAAAAUAUCUGAGAUUGAGCAGCUGGAUGAAUCUACAAGAAUAUUGUCAGAAAAUGAUUUCCUUGCUUAAGCUCUCGGUAAAGAGCACUCGGGUAGAGUGCGUGGCAUAGGUUUCGGGCUGACACUAAGUCAACUCUUCUGUCUGAGUUCGCAGCCGCCAAUGGAUAGAGCUCAAGUAGAAGAGGCCCAAAGGAUGCUGUGUGAACUACAGGCGGAGGUAGGUGACGACCGAAAAAUUGAAAAGGAAAGCAAUGGAGGAUGAAUUAGCAGCAGAGAAAACGAAGAGGCAGGCAAUAGAGAGUGUGCUGAGUUAUCUGGUCCAACAGCAAGGUGGGGAGCUGCCACCAGACAUCGCUGCAUGAAUGAAUUCUUUGGAUGGAGAUGGCGGAAAAUAGAAAUUAGGAUAUAUGUGAUAGUUUGUUUUUCAGUAUAUAUUUUAUUUAUGUUAACUAUGUAGCAUUAAUUAUUAGCUAAGUACUUUACCUUUUUGGGGGACUAUUGAAAUACUUUAUUGAUAUUAAAAUAAAGGGUUAAGUUCGAUUUUGGUCCCCAACGUAGAGGUCGAAAAUCGGAAUUGUCCCCAACUUUUUUUUUG
rnacentral:lncRNA from 1 species